rnacentral:rRNA from 1 species
UACAGAGGGGGCAAGCGUUGUUCGGAAUUACUGGGCGUAAAGGGCGCGUAGGCGGCCUGCUAAGUCGAACGUGAAAUCCCUGGGCUCAACCCAGGAACUGCGUCCGAUACUGGUUGGCUUGAAUCCGGGAGAGGGAUGUGGAAUUCCGGGUGUAGCGGUGAAAUGCGUAGAUAUCUGGAGGAACACCGGUGGCGAAGGCGACAUCCUGGACCGGUAUUGACGCUGAGGCGCGAAAGCCAGGGGAGCAAACGGG